rnacentral:misc_RNA from 1 species
UCCGGCUUAUCACCGGCGGUUCCUUAGAGUGCCCGGCAUUACCCGAUGGCAACUAAAGACAAGGGUUUCGCUCGUUAAGGGACUUAACCCGACAUCUCACGACACGAGCUGACGACAGCCAUGCAGCACCUGUGUAUCCUGAUAUUGCUAUCUCGUCAGGCUUUCACCCUUCUACUAGAUACAUGUCAAGGCCAGGUAAGGUUCUUCGCGUUGCAUCGAAUUAAGCCACAUACUCCACCGCUUGUGCAGGCCCCCGUCAAUUUCUUUGAGUUUUAAUCUUGCGACCGUACUUCCCAGGCGGCAUAUUUAUCGCGUUAGCUUCGCCACAAAAGGGGUCGAUUCCUUUUACAGCAAAUAUGCACCGUUUACGGCUAGGACUAC